UACGUAGGGGGCAAGCGUUGUCCGGAAUCACUGGGCGUAAAGCGCACGUAGGCGGAUUGUUAAGUCAGGGGUGAAAUCCUGGAGCUCAACUCCAGAACUGCCUUUGAUACUGGCGAGCUUGAAUCCGGGAGAGGUGAGUGGAAUUCCGAGUGUAGAGGUGAAAUUCGUAGAUAUUCGGAAGAACACCAGUGGCGAAGGCGGCUCACUGGACCGGCAUUGACGCUGAGGUGCGAAAGCGUGGGGAGCAAACAGG
rnacentral:rRNA from 1 species